GAUGAACGCUGGCGGCGUGCUUAACACAUGCAAGUCGAACGGAAAGGCUCCUGCUUGCAGGGGUACUCGAGUGGCGAACGGGUGAGUAACACGUGGGUGAUCUGCCCUGCACUUCGGGAUAAGCCUGGGAAACUGGGUCUAAUACCGGAUAGGACGAUGGUUUGGAUGCCAUUGUGGAAAGUUUUUUUGGUGUGGGAUGAGCUCGCGGCCUAUCAGCUUGUUGGUGGGGUAAUGGCCUACCAAGGCGUCGACGGGUAGCCGGCCUGAGAGGGUGUACGGCCACAUUGGGACUGAGAUACGUCCCAGACUCCUACGGGAGGCAGCAGUGGGGAAUAUGGCACAAUGGGCGCAAGCCUGAUGCAGCGACGCCGCGUGGGUGAUGACGGCCUGCGGGUUGUAAACUCCUUUCGCUAGGGACGAAGCGCAAGUGACGGUACCUGGAGAAGAAGCACCGGCUAACUACGUG
rnacentral:rRNA from 1 species